CCGCCGAGCGAGCAGCGCCGUGCCCCGGCUGCGGCAGCGGGAAGGGCCCGGGAAGCCACCCCCAGCGAGACGGGAACGCGUCUCCAGAGCCAUCCCCAGCAGAGUGCAAGGUGAUGUACUUCUCGUCCAGUGCACGUCAUGGUGAGGGAUGAGGCAUGAGUCACUUCCCCCGUGGGCAGUGGUGACCAACUGCCUCUGCUGCCUGUGGAGCUGCCACACCAGAGCUGGGCACACGAGGAAUCACCACCUCCCAUCAGCUCUCUGGUGACGACAUGAUGUAAAAGCAGUUUAUUAAGCUGCAAGAUGAAAGACUUUUACAGCUCAUAAAGGAGGAAAGCUCAUAAGAAGACAAGGUUCUAAUUCCAGGACACUGCUGCAUGCAGUUGAAUCUAUGCUGGUCACAGCACAUUCCUGACACUGUGAGAAAGGAUUCUGCUCUUCUUCUGCUGCAUGGUCUCCAUACAGGCCUCCAAACUGAGCUGAACUUCUGCAAAGCAAGAAAAGACAACCUUUUAUUUAAAAAUAAACAAAGCAGCAUUGAUGAUUGGACUGAAACCCAGUGGAGAGAGAUUAAUGUGGAACAGAUGGAUGUGCAGCUCAGAAGGUUUGCC